rnacentral:rRNA from 1 species
GAUGAACGCUGGCGGCGUGCCUAAUACAUGCAAGUAGAACGCUGAAGCUUGGUGCUUGCACCGAGCGGAUGAGUUGCGAACGGGUGAGUAACGCGUAGGUAACCUGCCUCUUAGCGGGGGAUAACUAUUGGAAACGAUAGCUAAUACCGCAUAAAAGUCGAUAUCGCAUGAUAUUGAUUUGAAAGGUGCAAUUGCAUCACUAAGAGAUGGACCUGCGUUGUAUUAGCUAGUUGGUGAGGUAACGGCUCACCAAGGCGACGAUACAUAGCCGACCUGAGAGGGUGAUCGGCCACACUGGGACUGAGACACGGCCCAGACUCCUACGGGGGGCAGCAGUAGGGAAUCUUCGGCAAUGGGGGCAACCCUGACCGAGCAACGCCGCGUGAGUGAAGAAGGUUUUCGGAUCGUAAAGCUCUGUUGUAAGAGAAGAACGAGUGUGAGAGUGGAAAGUUCACACUGUGACGGUAACUACCAGAAAGGAC